GACGAACGCUGGCGGCGUGCUUAACACAUGCAAGUCGAACGGAAAGGCGCUGCUUUUGUGGGGUGCUCGAUUGGCGAGCGGGUGAGUAACACGCGAGUAACCUGCCCUUGACAUUGGGAUAACUUCAGGAAACUCGGGCUAAUAUCGGAGAUGAGCUCCUGCUGCAUGGUGGGGGUUGGUAAGUUUCGGCGGUUGUGGCUGGACUCGCGGCUUAUGCGCUUGAUGGUGGGGUAGUUGCGUACCAGGGUUUCGACGGGUAGCCGGCCUGAGAGGUGGACCGGCCACCUGGCGACUGAGAUAGGGCGCAGACGCCAACGGGAGGCAGCAGUGGGGAAUUUUGCACGAUGGGCGGAAGCCUGAGGCAGCGACGCCGCGUGCGGGAUGAUGUCCUUCGGGGUGUAAACAGCUUUCGCCUGUGACGAAGCGGGAGUGACGGUAAUGGGUAAAGAAGCACCGGCUAACUACGUG
rnacentral:rRNA from 1 species